rnacentral:rRNA from 1 species
UAUGGUAUUGAUAUUAUGAAUGAUAUCAAUUAAAGUUGAGGCGCUGACAGAUGGAUGUGCGUCUGAUUAGCUAGUUGGUAGGGUAACGGCCUACCAAGGCGACGAUCAGUAGGGGCGUGAGAGCGUGGUCCCCCACACGGGUACUGAGACACGGACCCGACUCCUACGGGAGGCAGCAGUAAGGAAUAUUGGUCAAUGCCCGCAAGGGUGAACCAGCCAUUCCGCGUGGAGGAUGAAGGCCCUAUGGGUUGUAAACUUCUUUUAGAUGGGAAGAAAAUGCUAGAUGUAUCUGGUACUGACGGUACCAUCAGAAUAAGCACCGGCUAACUCCGUG